rnacentral:rRNA from 1 species
AUUGAACGCUGGCGGCAUGCCUAACACAUGCAAGUCGAACGGGGCAGCAAUGCCUAGUGGCGGACGGGUGAGGAAUACGUAGGAAUCUGCCCUUAGGUGGGGGAUAACCAGGGGAAACCCUGACUAAUACCGCAUGAUCUCUUCGGAGCAAAGAGGGGGACCGCAAGGCCUCUCGCUGCUGGAUGAGCCUACGUCUGAUUAGCUAGUUGGUAGGGUAAAGGCCUACCAAGGCGACGAUCAGUAACUGGUCUGAGAGGCUGAUCAGUCACACCGGAACUGAGACACGGUCCGGACUCCUACGGGAGGAAGCAGUGGGGAAUAUUGGACAAUGGGCGCAAGCCUGAUCCAGCAAUGCCGCGUGUGGGAAGAAGGCCUUCGGGUUGUAAAGCACUUUAGCCUGGAAAGAAAAAACUUUGGUUAACACCCAAAGUCUUGACGGUACCAGGAGAAUAAGCACCGGCUAACUCUGUGCCAGCCGCCGCAGUAACAC